CCUACGGGCGGCAGCAGUGGGGAAUAUUGCACAAUGGGCGAAAGCCUGAUGCAGCAACGCCGCGUGAGCGAUGAAGGCCUUCGGGUCGUAAAGCCCUGUCCUCAAGGAAGAUAAUGACGGUACUUGAGGAGGAAGCCCCGGCUAACUACGUGCCAGCAGCCGCGGUAAUACGUAAGGGGCUAGCUGUAUCCGGAAUUACUGGGCGUAAAGGGUGCGUAGGUGGUUUCUUAAGACAGAGGUGAAAGGCUACGGCGCAACCGUAGGAAGCCUUUGAAACUGGUAAACUUGAGUGCAGGAGAGGAGAGUGGAAUUCCGAGUGUAGCGGUGAAAUGCGUAGAGAUUAGGAGGAACACCAGUUGCGAAGGCGGCUCUCUGGACUGUAACUGACACUGAGGCACGAAAGCGUGGGGAGCAAACAGGAUUAGAUACCCUUGUAGUC
rnacentral:rRNA from 1 species